AGUCAGUCCACUGCUGGAUGAGAUCCUCCUCAUGCCUUGCGGAUUGUGGGUUAUGUGACCAUACUUCACCACACUGAUAAUUUUGAGUUGAAGGUGGUGAGCGUAGACAUGGGGACAUUAAGGUAAAAGCCAUCACUCGCAGUUAUGCGAUAUACUAAUCCACCAAUCAACAGCACACAAGCUAAUUCCAUCACUACCAUAUCCGUGGUAGAUCACAAACGCGUUUUCUUCCUUGGAUGUGAAUCUGUUGCUCGUCUUGACCACUAGCCACCUUCCCAUUAAUUUGCACCAGCACUCAGAAUGCUGCCAUUAACAAGCAAGGGAAUGUCUCCUCCUUAUUCUGCGGAAACAGGACGAUGACGGCUUCAUUUCGUUUAACGAAUACCGGGACUUCUUGGAAAUGAACGGUGUGGAUCAAGACUGCAGCAGUGUGGACACAAGCAAAGAUGGCAAGAUCUCUUUCGAAGAGUUCUCUGAAUUCUACAAGAAGGACUCUGACAAGCAGAAGGAGAAGCUGAAGCUGAAAAAGUGAACUCCAAGGACAUGCCUGUGGGGUGAAAGGGUUGCUUUUAGUUUGUUAGGCUUCCACUCCUUGCUUCUUAAUCAUCAUGACCAGUGUCAACCCUACUACUAAGAAUAGGGCAUGUAAUGAUGUAUUAAUUCAUGAAAAUCAAUCCGUACUCUCUCAUUCGUGCGUACAAUCAGCUGUGCAAUAAUUCGUCAUUCAAAUGGUAUUGAAUAUUAUCUGCAAACAUUACCGUUAUGCUGAGCAAAUUUAAUGGCACAAAUGAGAUGAAAUACAUUACAAAUAAGACCUAAAAAAGGAAUAGAUUCUUGAACAUAAUAGAGAGAAUUGUGACAUUUCACUGAAUCAGAGGAUAAUCUUUACAUGCCUAACAAAAAAAGUACUGCUACCAUUUAUAGCUAUUACUACUGUAUUUGACACUACUGCUAAUAGCACUACCACUAAGACUCCAUUGAAAUGUACUUUUAUUACAAAGCAUUUCAGUAAUAUUUCAGAUGUACUGUGCUGUGCGACGUACUGGCACCAUGAUCGAAAAUAGCGCACUGAAACAAACUUCAACGAGGCAUAAUGCAUCCAUUCACUAUGGAAUAAACACCUAAGUGCAGUACACGUACUCAUAAAUACCAGUCACAGAUCACUCUUGAACAACACUACUGUCAGAAUGCUGGACGUGGCUUGGUAACCUGAAAGGCAGCUGUGGUCAGAAUGCAAACGUGGUUCUUUCUACAAAUGCAGCCCAGCGUUCUGAUGGAUUGUUUUUUUCAUUUGCAUUGAAAUAAACCCAGCCUUGCUUAAAUAAAAG